rnacentral:rRNA from 1 species
UACGUAGGGUGCGAGCGUUAAUCGGAAUUACUGGGCGUAAAGCGUGCGCAGGCGGCUUCGCAAGUCAGACGUGAAAUCCCCGGGCUUAACCUGGGAAUGGCGUUUGAAACUACGGAGCUGGAGUGUGGCAGAGGGAGGUAGAAUUCCACGUGUAGCGGUGAAAUGCGUAGAUAUGUGGAGGAAUACCGAUGGCGAAGGCAGCCUCCUGGGCCAACACUGACGCUCAUGCACGAAAGCAUGGGGAGCAAACAGG